UGCUGUGUUGAUGUUCAUGUACUUACAGUAUGAUGAUUGGCCUGAUCCCCUGACUUUUGCUGUCCACCUGAGUCCCAUACUAUGUGAGGCGUGUGUAAAUGUCCAGGAGGAGACAAUAAUCCAACUGCACUGUUCAGUGUCCUGCUGCUGAAUGAGUGUCUGUAUACUAAGUAUGCUGAUUGGCCUGAUCCCCUGACUUUUGCUGUCCACCUGAGUCCCAUACUAUGUGAGGCGUGUGUAACUGUCCAGGAGGAGACAAUAAUCCAACUGCACUCUUCAGUGUCCUGCUGCUGAAUGAGUGUGUGUAUACUAAGUAUGCUGAUUGGCCUGAUCCCCUGACUUUUGCUGUCCACCUGAGUCCCAUACUAUGUGAGGCGUGUGUAACUGUCCAGGAGGAGACAAUAAUCCAACUGCACUCUUCAGUGUCCUGCUGCUGAAUGAGUGUGUGUAUACUAAGGUGAGCUUUUAGAAGCAUCUCCUUUCUGACAUCACAAA